GGCCACUGCUAUCGGAGUACGACUUAGCCAUGCGAGUCACAGGGGCGCAAGCCACUGGCAGACGGCUCAGUAACACGUAGGUAACCUACCCUUCGGAUGGGCAUAACCCCGGGAAACUGGGGCUAAUUCCCAAUAGGCACCCCCCUCUGGAAUGUGGGGAUGUCCAAAGCUCCGGCGCCGAAGGAUGGGCCUGCGGCCGAUUAGGUUGUUGGCGGGGUAACAGCCCACCAAGCCGACGAUCGGUACGGGCAGUGAGAGCUGUAGCCCGGAGAUGGGGACUGAGACAAGGCCCCAGGCCCUACGGGGCGCAGCAGGCGCGAAACCUUCACAAUGCACGAAAGUGUGAUGAGGGUACUCCGAGUGCGCAUACAUUUGUAUGUGCUUUUCUGCAGCGUAAAUAGUUGCAGGAAUAAGGGCUGGGCAAGACCGGUGCCAGCCGCCCGCGGUAACACCGGCAGCCCUAGUGGUGGCCGCUUUUAUUGGGCCUAAAGCGUCCGUAGCCGGAUAGGCAAGUCUUUGGGUAAAUCCUACGUCUUAAGCGUGGGAAUUCUAAAGAUACUACCUGUCUUGAGGCCGGGAGAGGCUAGAGGUACUCCUGGGGUAGGGGUAAAAUCCUAUAAUCCUAGGGGGACCACCGAUGGCGAAGGCAUCUAGCUGGAACGGGCCUGACGGUGAGGGACGAAACCCAGGGGAGCGAGCCGGAUUAGAUACCCGGGUAGUCCUGGGCGUAAAUGAUGUGGGCUUGGUGUGAGCGCAUCGACGAGGUGCGUUUGUGCCGUAGGGAAGCCGUUAAGCCCACCGCCUGGGGAGUACGGUCGCAAGGCUGAAACUUAAAGGAAUUGGCGGGGGANCACUACAAGGGGUGGAGGCUGCGGUUU
rnacentral:rRNA from 1 species